CGCUGGCGGCGCGCUUACACAUGCAAGUCGAGCGAGAAAGGGGCAACCUGAGUACAGCGGCGUACGGGUGAGUAACACGUGGGUGAUCUACCUCUUUGUGGGGAAUAACCCUGGGAAACCGGGGCUAAUACCGCAUAAGCCUGAGAAGGGAAAGCCGAAAGGCGCAGAGAGAGGAGCCCGCGGCCGAUUAGCUAGUUGGUGAGGUAACGGCUCACCAAGGCGACGAUCGGUAGCCGGCCUGAGAGGGCACACGGCCACACUGGCACUGAAACACGGGCCAGACUCCUACGGGAGGCAGCAGUGGGGAAUCUUGCACAAUGGAGGCAACUCUGAUGCAGCGACGCCGCGUGAGCGAUGAAGCCCUUCGGGGUGUAAAGCUCUUUCGGCAGGAACGAUAAUGACGGUACCUGAAGAAGAAGCUGCGGCUAACUACGU
rnacentral:rRNA from 1 species